AUGUUACCAAAUGGGGAGGAUGAUUCGGAUCUUAUGCGUCUGGUGAAGGAGCUUCAAGCUUCUCUAAUGAAGAACGAUAAGCUGGAGAAAGAAAAUCACGAGCUGCGUCAAGAAGUGGCUCGCCUACGAGCACAAGUAAGCAAUCUUAAAGCACAUGACAAUGAGAGGAAAUCAAUGUUAUGGAAGAAGUUGCAGAGCUCAUAUGAUGGUGGCAACACAGACGCAUCUAAUCUGAAAGCGCCAGAGAGUGCCAAACCCAACAUAAAGGGACAUGAGGUAAAGAAUCCAAACCUGAAGCCAAUGGUCAAAGAACAAUCUAUAGCAAUAAAGCCGCCGCCGCCUCCACCACUUCCAUCAAAAACAACACUUGGAAAAAGGUCCGUGCGUCGUGCUCCAGAAGUUGUAGAGUUGUAUCGUGCCCUCACGAAGAGAGAGUCUCAUAUGGGCAACAAGAUCAAUCAGAACGGAGUUUUGUCUCCUGCGUACAACGCAAACAUGAUUGGUGAGAUUGAGAACCGCUCCAAAUAUCUUUCAGAUAUCAAAUCAGACACUGACAGACACAGAGAACAUAUCCAUUUCCUAAUCAGUAAGGUGGAUGCUGCAACAUUUACAGACAUAUCAGAAGUGGAGACGUUUGUGAAAUGGAUAGACGACGAACUAUCUUGAGAAUUGUUUGUGUGAAUCUAAGGAAAUCGAAGCUGUAUCGGUUCGAUAAGGAGGCGAAUCAGUGGAAGGAGAGAGGUGCUGGUACUGUGAAGCUCUUGAAGCAUAAGAGCGCUGGCAAGAUUCGUCUCGUCAUGAGGCAAUCGAAAACUCUCAAGAUCUGUGCUAAUCACUUCGUUAAACAUGGCAUGAGUGUUCAAGAACACGUGGGAAAUGAAAAGUCUUGUGUAUGGCACGCUCGUGACUUUGCUGACGGGGAACUCAAGGAUGAGCUUUUCUGCAUCCGGUUUGCUUCCAUUGAGAGUGAGUAUCAAUUAUGAUAACACUAGUGGAAGCCCGCUAUGGGCGGAAUAUGAUAUUUUGUCAAUUAUAUUUUUUAAGUUUAUUUCUAAAUUUAAGGGAUUGUGUUCAUCUUUGAUUCAUACCAAUUUUUCAUAUGAUUCUUUUGCGAUUGGUGUAA